rnacentral:rRNA from 1 species
UAUUGGACAAUGGGCGAAAGCCUGAUCCAGCCAUGCCGCGUGUGUGAUGAAGGCCUUACGGCUGUAAAGCACUUUUGUCCGGGAAGAUAAUGACUGUACCGGAAGAAUAAGCCCCGGCUAACUUCGUGCCAGCAGCCGCGGUAAUACGAAGGGGGCUAGCGUUGCUCGGAAUCACUGGGCGUAAAGGGCGCGUAGGCGGACUCUUAAGUCGGGGGUGAAAGCCCAGGGCUCAACCCUGGAAUUGCCUUCGAUACUGAGAGUCUUGAGUUCGGAAGAGGUUGGUGGAACUGCGAGUGUAGAGGUGAAAUUCGUAGAUAUUCGCAAGAACACCAGUGGCGAAGGCGGCCAACUGUCCGAUACUGACGCUGAGGCGCGAAA